ACUCCAGCUUGAUUUUGAGUACAAACACAGACCGUGUGCAGGGGGUCCCACCCGCCAGCAUCCUGGCUGUUGGUGGAACACCACUGCUCUCAUCAUUUUUUCACUUACCUGGUGAGGAGUGGGGGUGAGUCCCAAGAGACCUCUCGGUUUUGGUGCCCAGCACCUGGCCUGGGGCAAACACAACCCACUCUGGGACAGCAGUGGGUGAGGGGCUUGGCUGGGGCGGUACAUCUGUCAAAGCGUGAUGCAGGUGUCCCAAGGCAAGCUCAGGGGCACGGAAACCUCCUGUGGAGCAGAAGGGUUGAUCUUACUUCUGAUCCUCAGCGAGGCUGAGCGGGUUCCUUCAAUUGCUCCACUGGACUCAUCUGAUGGGU
rnacentral:ncRNA from 1 species